AUUGAACGCUGGCGGCAGGCCUAACACAUGCAAGUCGAGCGGAUGAAGGGAGCUUGCUCCUGGAUUCAGCGGCGGACGGGUGAGUAAUGCCUAGGAAUCUGCCUGGUAGUGGGGAUAACGUCCGGAAACGGGCGCUAAUACCGCAUACGUCCUGAGGGAGAAAGUGGGGGAUCUUCGGACCUCACGCUAUCAGAUGAGCCUAGGUCGGAUUAGCUAGUUGGUGGGGUAAAGGCCUACCAAGGCGACGAUCCGUAACUGGUCUGAGAGGAUGAUCAGUCACACUGGAACUGAGACACGGUCCAGACUCCUACGGGAGGCAGCAGUGGGGAAUAUUGGACAGUGGGCGAAAGCCUGAUCCAGCCAUGCCGCGUGUGUGAAGAAGGUCUUCGGAUUGUAAAGCACUUUAAGUUGGGAGGAAGGGCAGUAAGUUAAUACCUUGCUGUUUUGACGUUACCAACAGAAUAAGCACCGGCUAACUUCGUG
rnacentral:rRNA from 1 species